GGACGAACGCUGGCGGCGUGCUUAACACAUGCAAGUCGAGCGGUAAGGCCCUUUCGGGGGUACACGAGCGGCGAACGGGUGAGUAACACGUGGGUGACCUGCCCUCAGCUCUGGGAUAAGCCUGGGAAACGUGGGUCUAAUACCGGAUAUGACUCCAUGACGCAUGUUGUGGGGUGGAAAGCCUUGUGCGGCUGAGGAUGGGCCCGCGGCCUAUCAGCUUGUUGGUGGGGUGAUGGCCUACCAAGGCGACGACGGGUAGCCGGCCUGAGAGGCGACCGGCCACACUGGGACUGAGACACGGCCCAGACUCCUACGGGAGGCAGCAGUGGGGAAUCUUGCGCAAUGGGCGAAAGCCUGACGCAGCGACGCCGCGUGAGGGAUGACGGCCUGGUGUA
rnacentral:rRNA from 1 species